AGAGUUUGAUCAUGGCUCAGGAUGAACGCUAGCGGCAGGCUUAAUACAUGCAAGUCGAGGGGCAGCACAGUGUAGCAAUACAUGGGUGGCGACCGGCAAACGGGUGCGGAACACGUACGCAACCUUCCCAGAACUGGUGAAUAGCCUUUCGAAAGAGAGAUUAAUACACCGUAAGUUAAUGGAGUGGCAUCACUUUAUUAAUAUAGUUCCGACGGUUCUGGAUGGGCGUGCGGCUGAUUAGGUAGUUGGCGGGGUAAUAGCCCACCAAGCCUACGAUCAGUAACUGGUGUGAGAGCACGACCAGUCACACGGGCACUGAGACACGGGCCCGACUCCUACGGGAGGCAGCAGUAAGGAAUAUUGGUCAAUGGACGCAAGUCUGAACCAGCCAUGCCGCGUGGAGGAUGAAGGUCCUCUGGAUUGUAAACUUCUUUUAUCGGAGAAGAAACCCUAGCAUUCUUGCUGGGUUGACGGUACCCGAUGAAUAAGCACCGGCUAACUCCGUGCCAGCAGCCGCGGUAAUACGGAGGGUGCAAGCGUUAUCCGGAUUCACUGGGUUUAAAGGGUGCGUAGGUGGGCUAGUAAGUCCGUGGUGAAAUCUCUGAGCUUAACUCGGAAACUGCCGUGGAUACUAUUAGUCUUGAAUAUUGUGGAGGUAAGCGGAAUAUGUCAUGUAGCGGUGAAAUGCUUAGAUAUGACAUAGAACACCGAUAGCGAAGGCAGCUUGCUACACAAUUAUUGACACUGAGGCACGAAAGCGUGGGGAUCAAACAGGAUUAGAUACCCCCGUAGUCC
rnacentral:rRNA from 1 species